CGACGACAUGAGUGUGGCUACAUGACUUAAUGUACCUGAAUCUUUCACAGCAGGCUAUUGAGGACAUCGCGUCAAACAAGCGAGGUCAAACAAGAAGAAGGACUUAUACAAAGUCGUCCAUCCAUCAGCGGACGCGACUGAGCACCUGGCUGUUCCAGACGAGAAGCGACGCUUCAAAGCUCUUUAACUAGAAGAAGAAUAUGAUGCAAAUUAGACUAAUGGUUACAUUCAGCGCGAGUGGAAAAAGAGGAGGUCUUCAUCUCAUGUACUCUCCAAAGAUCUCGACAUGAUGAUCAGGUGAGUCAUGCCGCUUUUAGUCUUGGAAAUAUUUCUGGUUCCGAUUCGGGAUGUGAUGACGGAUUCAAACUUAUAGCAUAUUUAAAACAGUGAAAUACGCAACACCCAAGCCAAAAACUCACCAAGUUGCCGGUAAUGUAAAUGUCGUCACGUCUGUGGUUCUCGCGUGGGAUUGCCGCAAUUUAAAAGUGUAAUUUAACGUAAACGCGUUUUGAUGUAUGUAGAUAGAAUUACUGAUUUCUAUGCAAUAAUUUAAUACGCAUGUCUUGCACUAAACGGAUAAAAUAAUAGAAGCAUCGUGCAGGAUUUUAAUGGCUACUGGGCAGAUUUUCUCACACAACCCUGGCAAUGUGGUGCUAACGCUAAAAACCACUAGUUCAUCACAAUACAAAUCCAACCUUGAGCGUUUACUCAGCUGUAUCGUUGUAAAAUUUAUGUUAAUUUGACAUGGUACAGUACGAGCUCAUAAAGCCUACCAACUGCUGGGAUAAUGAUCGUGUUUUACUUAUUUGGUUGGAUAUAAGCCAACAUUUUCUGUCCAACUGCUAAAAAGAUUAGUAGAAAAUUACACUGUUUUAGAAAAACAGGGUCUUGCAUGGUGGAGCAUCCCCCAGUGAACUGGCUUCGUAAAUAUGUUAAAAACAUUAACCAAACAGUCGGAAAUCUUUGUGUGUUUAUGUGGACCUUCAGCCAGUCAAGUCCUUGCGUAACACGUUCCUAAAAAAAUAAAAAAUACUAAUGUCAAAAGGUCUGUCAUUUGCCUUGCAGCUGGAACGAACACCUUCUGUCCAAUCAGAAUUGAGAAUUCAG
ensembl:lncRNA